GAUGAACGCUGGCGGCGUGCUUAACACAUGCAAGUCGAACGGAAAGGCCAGUGCUUGCACUGGUACUCGAGUGGCGAACGGGUGAGUAACACGUGGGUGAUCUGCCCUGCACUUCGGGAUAAGCCUGGGAAACUGGGUCUAAUACCGGAUAGGACAAUGGUUUGGAUGCCGUUGUGGAAAGUUUUUUCGGUGUGGGAUGAGCUCGCGGCCUAUCAGCUUGUUGGUGGGGUAAUGGCCUACCAAGGCGUCGACGGGUAGCCGGCCUGAGAGGGUGUACGGCCACAUUAGGACUGUGAUACUGCCCAGACUCCUAAGGGAGGCAGCAGGGGGGAAUAUUGGACAAUGGGGGCAAGCCUGAUGCAGCGACGCCGCGUGGGGGAUGACGGCCUUCGGGUUGUAAACUCCUUUCGCUAGGGACGAAGCGUAUUUGUGACGGUACCUGGAGAAGAAGCACCGGCUAACUACGUG
rnacentral:rRNA from 1 species